ensembl:lncRNA
AGGGGGUGGAUGGGAUGUGGUGGCAGGUGAAUCUGGAGGGUAGGUGGUCUGUGGUGGCAGGUGAAUCUGGAGGGUAGGUGGAAUGGGGUGGCAGGUGAAUCUGGAGGGUAGGUGGUAUGGGUGGCAGGUGAAUAUGGAGGGUAGGUGGUCUGUGGUGGCAGGUGAAUCUGGAGGGUAGGUGGUCUGUGGUGACAGGUGAAUCUGGAGGGUAGGUGGUCUGUGGUGACAGGUGAAUCUGGAGGGUAGGUGGUAUGGGGUGGCAGGUGAAUCUGGAGGGUAGGUGGUAUGGGGUGACAGGUGAAUCUGGAGGGUAGGUGGUCUGUGAUUGGUUCAUCUAGAGGGUGGGUGGUCUGUAGUGGCAGAUUAAUCUAGAGGGUGGAUGGGAUGUGGUUGAAGGUAAAUCUGGAGGGUAGGUGGUCUGUGAUCGGUUCAUCUAGAGGGUGGGUGGUCUGUGAUCGGUUCAUCUAGAGGGUGGGUGGUCUGUGAUCGGUUCAUCUAGAGGGUAGGUGGUCUGUGAUCGGUUCAUCUAGAGGGUAGGUGGUCUGUGAUCGGUUCAUCUAGAGGGUGGGUGUUCUGUAGUGGCAGAUGAAUCUAGAGGGGAGGGAAGGAGAGAGGGAAGAGAGAGAGAGAGAAUCCAUAUCAAUAUAUUGGCAUUGAACAAUUAUUC